rnacentral:rRNA from 1 species
CAGCAAUUAUAAUUCUAGAGGAACUUGUUUUUUAAUCGAUAACCCUCGAUAAUUUUCACUUUAAUUAAAAAUUUAUAUACCUCCAUCAUAAGAAUUAAUUUUAAAAUAAUAUUCUAAAUAAUCAUAUAAUAUGUUAGGUAAAGGUGUAAUCUAUAUUUUAGAUAAAAUAAGUUAUUUAUAAAAAAAAUUUAAGAAUAUUAUACAAAAACAUUUUUUGAAAAAAGAUUUAGAAGUAAUUUUAAAACAAUAAUUUUUAUUGAAAAACAUUUAUAAUUGUGU